rnacentral:rRNA from 1 species
AUACGGAGGAUGCGAGUGUUAUCCGGAUUUAUUGGGUUUAAAGGGAGCGUAGGUGGAUUGUUAAGUCAGUUGUGAAAGUUUGCGGCUCAACCGUAAAAUUGCAGUUGAAACUGGCAGUCUUGAGUACAGUAGAGGUGGGCGGAAUUCGUGGUGUAGCGGUGAAAUGCUUAGAUAUCACGAAGAACUCCGAUUGCGAAGGCAGCUCACUAGACUGUUACUGACACUGAUGCUCGAAAGUGUGGGUAUCAAACAGGAUUAGAUACCCUGGUAGUCCACACAGUAAACGAUGAAUACUCGCUGUUUGCGAUAUACAGUAAGCGGCCAAGCGGAAGCAUUAAGUAUUCCACCUGGGGAGUACGCCGGCAACGGUGAAACUCAAAUGAAUUGGCGGGG